CUAGUGCUUUUCUUGAGCCUCUCCAUUAUUACGCCCAUAUUACAGAUGAGAAAACAGAUGAACAGAAAGGUCACCUAUCUAGUAAGCACUAGAGCUGGAAUUCAAACCCAGGCAUUCUGAUGCUGGAGUCCUGGUCUUUAACUCAUACACUAUGAGGAAUUGAGCUCUGGGAGGUUCAGGAGGGUUUAUGUGGUGAAAAGGCAAUUGAGUUGUGAUCUAUAGGGUAAGUUGGAAUUGACUAGGUAAAGAGAUUUAAUUCCAGGCAGAGGGAGCAAGCAUGUGCAAAGCGCCAUGGCUAGAGGCCAUCUCGGAAUGCAGAAAGCAAAGAGGAAGGUGGAGUGAGAAGAGGUUAGCAGGGCCAGACCAUGCAAGGCAUUGACUGGUGUGCCCCUCCUGGUCUUCUUCCAAAUAGAUUUCCUAAUGUUGCAUGGCUUUAUGUUAGAAGCAGCCUUUGCAGAUGCCAAGCAAGCUGUUUAACUUUCAAAUAAAGUAGAGCUCACAAGCCAACUACCCUACACAUAAAGGAUUCCCUCUAGAGGUGGCCAGAAUAAACCAAAGCUAGAUUCCUUUGCAGGUGGAGAUCGAUUGUAGAAACCUUUGCCCUCAGCAGCCCAAGAUGUCAGAACUUCAGCCAGAAUGGCUGCAUGAUGGAGACAAGACACUAGAGGUAGCCUGAGAGGGAAGGAGGGCCCUGGCCAUUCCCCCACAGAAUUCUCAUCAUCUGUGCCUUGUUUUCCCUGGCAUUGGUCUGUCAGUGGGGACACUGGCAUCAUUAUUCCAGAACAUGUGUCCCUAACCUUUGCUCGCUCUCUCUCUGCCACCAGGGAUACUGUCUGCUACUUCCCACUCCAAUUCUGCUCAUGAAAUUCUACCUCUCUUCAAAGUGGAACUAAAAUUCCUGCUCCGUGAAUCCUUCUCCUGGCCCUUAGCCACUCAUUAUGUAUCAGCAGAAUUUUUUUAUAGCUCUCUUGCAGCAUUUGCCACAUUUUUCCUUAUAUUUCUGUCAUUCAAGCUUAUGUCUCAUCUCUCCUAAAAGACCGUAAACUCUAGGUCAGAGUUUGUGUUUGUGUCCUGGUAUUCUAUAGUGUACCUAGCUCAGUACAUAUGGUAGACCUUCGGUAAGUAUUUUUUGGAUGUUGAUAAUAGACUCGGCCUCUUGUCCAUCACAUAUUUAGCUGCUCUCUCUUUCACUUCUUUCACUGGUGAAUGAAGAAAAACCAGCUCAAAAUCUCAUAAGCAAAUCCAAAAGAAUGUGUAGGCCUGUGAAUUAGUAGGAGACUGGAUCCCACCCUCAGCCAUGGUAGGAACCAGGGGCUCAAAUGAUAUGGUAAGGACCUGAUUUCUCUCCACCUUGUACCUGUACUUUCUUGUGUGUUGGUUUCCUCCUCAGGCUUCAUCUUGUGGCAAGAUGGUCACUAGACAUCUCUUUUCAGGUUCAGGUCUGUCGGCAAAUAGAAGGCACCUCUUUUCCAAUAGUCCAGCAAAGCUCUCAUAUCACCACAUUGGAUCCAGCUGAAUACUGUGGGCCAGGGAAUAUGCUUUACUAUGAUUGGUCAAGAUGGUCAUAUGCUCUAUGGCUGGAGCUGGGGGGUGGAGUGCGCAGAUAGAAUUUGAGGACAUAGGAAUUUGGGUCACCUUCCUGGGGGUAAGGUAAUUGGCUACCAAAAGGGAAAAUCCUAAUGCCCCCUCUACUCCUCCUAGAGGGCAGGGACAGGACCCCGUUUGAGGAGGUGGGAGUGUGGCCCUCCCUGCUUCUGAAAGGCCAACGCUGACAUUGUUAGAGUGGGACUAUGCAGAGAGUGAGAGGAAGGAUGAUUCAGCUCCUGAUUUUAGGUUCUAACCCCACUCCCCAAAGACCUGCAAAGGAAAUCCCCCAAUUUUUAAGGCUGGAUGAAGAGUGAGGAAAUGCAGUUAAGUGAGUCCCUGAGGCUUCUUCUUGCUCUUUCUCAGCCAAAAUGAAAUGUUUGUCUCCAAGGGAGGACUUCCAUCCUCUGAUUAAGAAGGCAGAGAUUCCUCUUGUCCUGGGAAUUUCUGAGGCCUGGUGUGGUCAUCAGUGUGAUGGUCUCUGGGUGCUGUGAAUCCUGGAGUGGAAUUUGGGGGAAAGGCAUUCAAGGUUCCACAGGGCCUGGGGCACAGUCUCACUGGAAUUGUUGAACAGGCUGCUCGCUGCUGCCCAAACCUUUCUGACCUGUUUCCUCAAUGAAUGGGGGCAGUUGCAGAAAUUCUAGGGGUCUUUACUGAUGAGGGUACAGCGGGCUGCCAGGAGACAGCCCAGAGCUGGGGACGAGUGUCUGGCUAAUACCACUUCUCUGCAGGCAGGGAUCGUUCUGGCAUUACUCACUGCCAAUGCCUAGGCCUUUAUUUCUCUGAAUUGUCAUAAUGAUCUUUGAAGAACCUGAGACUCACACAGUUUAGCAACUUUGCAAGAUGACCUUUGCUGUCUCAUUUUAGGACUUGUGCUUGCAACCACUUUGCUGGGCAGGCUACUCCUUCCCUGAGGUGCCUGAGGUCCUCCCUGCAAAGUGUUAGCUCCUCUGGUACCCAUUUCUCUUUCUGGAAGAGGCUCUGGCUUUUGCUCAGGGCCAGUUCCUCACACAGGCCCUUCUCAGGACUCAGCUUUGCUCACAGGCCUGUUGCCCUUCUUAAUAUAAAGCUCAGAUGUGCUCAAGCUGGGGCUGAUAGGGUUUCUCCACCAGUCAAGACAAUGAAAACUCAUUUCUGGCAUGGUUUGAAUUAAAUGAGAAUUUCCCGCUUUUCAUAAACAUUUACAGUAGUUGUGGAUGCAGAGUUGAAAGGGUUAGGGUUUGGGGGUUUAAUUAGAAACAAAUGCCCUUUAUGGUCCUGUUAGCAAGGACAGCAGGUCUCAGAUUAUUAGGAUUAUUGCUAUUAUUCAUGCCUGCAUUUUCAUUUUUUUUCACAGCACCCAGGGCCAAUUUCCCCAAGGUAGCUAGUCAUGGUGGUAGGAAGUGAGACCUGAAAGAUCACUGGUGAAGUUUCUGUCUGGGAGCCAGGGCUCUGGGCCGGCUUCCGGCCCCACCUCACAGGCAGCCCAAGGCUCCCUCCCUUCCUUUCAGGCAAUGGGUGAGCUGAAGGCUUAGCAGGCAGAGCAGCUGCAGCCUCUCUUGGGGCCUGGGUGGAGAGAUGUUUGCCGGCCUUGAGAACCCAGACGUUCCAAGAUGAGGCUGGCCAGCCAUGUCCCUGGGCUCAGCCCUCACUCUUGAUUUAAAACAAGGACAACCUAUAGCCCCAGGCACAUGCUUAUAAACCCAGCUUCUUGAGAAGCAGGAGAGAAAAUUUGCAAGCAUGCAGUUUUCAAGUGGCUUUGUUUUGUCAUUGAUGGAGAAUCCAAGGCUGUCCCUGCAGGAUCAGGAGAAGAAAGAGCCAAUCAUAGCAGCCUGUUACCCAGGAAAGGAUGUUUUUCAUUUGGUAUCUCUUGAAAACAGGCUGGGGCUCCUGUCACAGUCCCUAAGAGGCCAGCUCUUAAUCCCUUGGGGCUUUCUCCACAUCUGUCUUGAAAACCUUAACAAAAAGCUGGAAAAUGCCUGCAAGUCCAUUCUACCUGUUAAGGAUAUCACGAGUUCCAACAAGGCAUUGUCUUUGGAUAUUUGGUGACAAACAGGCCAUCCAGGUCAUUCAUAAGCAAUUAGAGAGGUCAUAGAAGUUUAUGGCCAGAAGGGCCGUUGAAAGCAUUCAAUCUGUCAGUCCCAUUUUACAGAUGAUACAACGGAGGCCCAGGGAAAGGGGAGGAGAUCACCCCUAUCAUCGAGGAUGAGGAGUUGGGCAGCUGACAUGGCCUAGGUCUUCUGUAUCUGAAACUGCGUCUUAUCUUAGUAUAUAAAGAAUCAGGCAUAUGUUGUAUUAUUUCCCCUCAGAUACAUUGAGACGUUUUAUGGAAGACAUUCAGUCCUCCCUUUACAAGCCUAGGCAGGAUUACAUUACUUCUCCCACAAAACAUUUAUAAAAGCACUAUUACGUGAUUCAUUAUAGAAACUCUGAAAUUUUCAAUCAAGUUUAAAGAAGAAACUCAACCUAAUAUUCCAACUUCAUUCUAACAAUUCCAUUACCAUUAGUAUGGCUUAAUCCCCCAUCCUCUUUUUUAACUUAGAAAACUAGACUUUAAAUGACGAAGAGUUUUGGCUGUAAAGUUUGAGUCUCCGUGCUGUCAUUUCCUAGCUGUGACCUGGCCGGUUACUUAGCCCCACACAGCCUCCAUGUCCCUGAGGGGGUAUUGUGAGGAUGAAACAAACUUAUUAAUGUAGGGCGUUCGGCACAGUGCUCAGUGCAUUUUAAUAACUCACUGUUGUUAUCAUCAUAAGAAAAAUAGAAAAAUCUGGACGCCCCACAAUCAUAACAACACAAAAUUAUUAAGUUACAAAAGCCAAACAAAAUGACACUAAAGUAAAAAAAUGAUUACAAAUUAUUCAACUACUCAAGAAAAGAAUUUAUUCAGUUGGUGGGUUUUUUAACCCUAGUUCCUAAAUCUAUCUGGACAAUAAAAAAAUUUGAAGGAAGCAAUUAUUAGAAAACAACAUAAAAUGAGUCCUUGUAUCUCCUGCCUAGAGAAAAACUCCACUCACAUGGUUUUAAACCAACAGAAGUGAUAUGAACGUUGAUACGGAAUUAUGGGACAUACAUACCAAAGGGGUAUUUCCAGGGGUCCUUUUGUUUGCUCUCUCUUUUUUUUCUUUCUUCAAAUUCAUUGAGUAGGGUUAGUUACACCAGGCAAUUUUAAUAGAACAAAGCCAUAUAAUGAACUUUUUCACAUAAAAGUGCAUUUUUUCCAUGAUUCACUCACUGUACCUUGUUUAUGAAGCUUGUAAAUAUGCUAGAUUAAAUGGGUCCCUUUCUCUAGUGUGCAAAAGUCCAGACCUCUCAAAGCCAGAGGAGGAGAAAGAGGGGGAGAGGGGAGGGGAGAGAAGGAGGAAGGAGAAAGCAGUAAAUGAAUCGGGAGCCGGUGGGCACAACAUGAAAAUGAAAAUAAUGUUCAGCUAUGGAAAAAUGGAGAGUGAUUUUCCGGAGUAGAAGGUGCAAGCCUUGCUACCUGCUCCCACCCCCACUUCUACCCCUGCCAAGGUCAAUUUAUGUGCAGACUUGCUGGAGCAUAGAGGAAACUUCUCACUAAGACUGUGGAAAUUGUCCCACAAAUCAGACUUCACCUUCCAGGCAGUGAAGAUUGGGCCUUGAGCCCUAGGAAACCUCCUCUCUGCCUUUUGAGAGGCCAGCUUGCUCCAAGUGGAGGGCGAGACCCCAUCUUGGAGGUACAGGAGGCAUUGUGGGCAUGCAUUGUUGUUGCUGAGUUAUGAAGUAAGUUGGAUAUAAAGAUAGAGGGCCAGGGACAGGUUUCAAAACACUCACCAACAGAAAAGAGAAGGAAGGAAGGGAGGGAGGAAGGAAGGGAAAGAGAGAGAGAGAGAGAGAGAAAGAAAGAAAGAAAGAAGGAAGGAAGGAAGGAAAGGGAAAGAGAGAGAAAGGAAGGAAGGAGGGGGCAGGGAUGGGAGAGAGCGAGGAGAGGAGAGGAAAGGAAAGGAAAAAAGAACUCUAGCUGAAGCACAAUCAUUCAUAUUCAAUCAUUGUUGAAUAUGAAUGAUGGGUGGAUGGAAGUUGUGAUACUUAAUUUUACAUGUCAACUUUGUCUGAACCACAGCACCCAGGUAUUUUCAGACAUUAUUCUGGAUGUUUCUGUGAGGAUUCUUUUUUUUUUUUUUUUUUUUAGAUAAGAUUGACAUGUAAAUCAGUGGUCUUUAAGUAAAGCAGAUUAACUUCCAUCAUGUGGGUGGGCCUCAAUUCAUAGACUCUUGUUCAUAGAAUUUGGAGAGAAUUACAUAAGAUAGUGGGUGUAACCUAAUUCACAUCAAAUUCGUGCACUGAUUCAGCAAAAAUUUACUAUACACAAUCCCUGGCUUUAGAGUUAUGUUACUGAAUAGUAUAAGAUGAGACCGCUGCCCUCCAGCAACUUAGAUUUCAGUGGAGGAGGUGAACUCCUGGACGUAUGCAUAAUCACAAACUGGGACAAAGGCUUUAAAGUAAAGAACCAUGAUUCUAUGAGAGAUCUGUGCGAAAGAACAUGACCAAGAGCAGGGACCCCAGUGGGUGUCUGCAGUUCUCUAGGCCACAGUUUGCAGGAGUGGUAGUGGCAGAAGCAGCUGCCACUUUUAACCACUGGUCACUCCUUACACUGAAAAUGAGAUUUACCGUGAUGCUUCAGCUACCUUAGUGCUUGCUGAGGGCAGGACCCUAUGUAUUACGUUUGUAUUUAGAAAGGAAUGUCUUUUGCAAGCAGCUGGCCACCCAGAAAGGACUGCCAGCCAGAAGCAGGCUAGGCCGCGGGGUCUCCAUCUUGUACCACCUACUUCCUCUGGGAAUUUGGCCCAGUCAUUCUUAUCUCUGAGCCUCAGUUUCCCCAUCUGGAAAGUAAUCAUACCUGAUCUAGCAGCCUUGCUGGGCAGCUGUGAGUUUAAUGAUAUCAGAGCUCAUGAAUGUGGAACAACUUUGAAAAGCUGCAAAGGCACUGG
rnacentral:lncRNA from 1 species